ensembl:snRNA U6 U6 spliceosomal RNA
GUACUUAUUUCAGCAGCACUUACACUAAAAUUGGAACAAUACAGAGAAGAUUAGCAUGGACUCUGAAGAAGGAUGACAUACAAAUUCAUGAAACAUACUAUAUUUUU